UACGGGGGGGGCAAGCGUUGUUCGGAAUUACUGGGCGUAAAGGGCUCGUAGGUGGCCAACUAAGUCAGACGUGAAAUCCCCCGGCUUAACCGGGGAACUGCGUCCGAUACUGGAUGGCUUGGAUUUGGGAGAGGGAUGCGGAAUUCCAGGUGUAGCGGUGAAAUGCGUAGAUAUCUGGAGGAACACCGGUGGCGAAGGCGGCAUCCUGGACCAAUAUUGACGCUGAGGAGCGAAAGCCAGGGGAGCAAACGGG
rnacentral:rRNA from 1 species